GAUGAAGAACGUAGCGAAAUGCGAUAAGUAAUGUGAAUUGCAGAAUUCAGUGAAUCAUCGAAUCUUUGAACGCACAUUGCGCCCGCCAGUAUUCUGGCGGGCAUGCCUGUUCGAGCGUCAUUACAACCCUCAGGCCCCCGGGCCUGGCGUUGGGGAUCGGCGGAAGCCCCCUGCGGGCACAACGCCGUCCCCCAAAUACAGUGGCGGUCCCGCCGCAGCUUCCAUUGCGUAGUAGCUAACACCUCGCAACUGGAGAGCGGCGCGGCCACGCCGUAAAACACCCAACUUCUGAAUGUUGACCUCGAAUCAGGUAGGAAUACCCGCUGAACUUAAGCAUAUCAAUAAGCCGAGGA
rnacentral:misc_RNA from 1 species